UUAGAAGCUUGCUUCUAUGACGUUAGCGGCGGACGGGUGAGUAACACGUGGGCAACCUGCCUGUAAGACUGGGAUAACUUCGGGAAACCGAAGCUAAUACCGGAUAGGAUCUUCUCCUUCAUGGGAGAUGAUUGAAAGAUGGUUUCGGCUAUCACUUACAGAUGGGCCCGCGGUGCAUUAGCUAGUUGGUGAGGUAACGGCUCACCAAGGCAACGAUGCAUAGCCGACCUGAGAGGGUGAUCGGCCACACUGGGACUGAGACACGGCCCAGACUCCUACGGGAGGCAGCAGUAGGGAAUCUUCCGCAAUGGACGAAAGUCUGACGGAGCAACGCCGCGUGAGUGAUGAAGGCUUUCGGGUCGUAAAACUCUGUUGUUAGGGAAGAACAAGUACAAGAGUAACUGCUUGUACCUUGACGGUACCUAACCAGAAAGCCACGGCUAACUACGUGCCAGCAGCCGCGGUAAUACGUAGGUGGCAAGCGUUAUCCGGAAUUAUUGGGCGUAAAGCGCGCGCAGGCGGUUUCUUAAGUCUGAUGUGAAAGCCCACGGCUCAACCGUGGAGGGUCAUUGGAAACUGGGGAACUUGAGUGCAGAAGAGAAAAGCGGAAUUCCACGUGUAGCGGUGAAAUGCGUAGAGAUGUGGAGGAACACCAGUGGCGAAGGCGGCUUUUUGGUCUGUAACUGACGCUGAGGCGCGA
rnacentral:rRNA from 1 species